rnacentral:sRNA from 1 species
UCAAGAGACCCAACCCAGGUCUGACCUUGGAUGUUUGCUCCAUGUGACAAAAGCAGGCCUGUCUCAGGACCUUUUCUUUUCUUUUUUCCUUCUUUUUUUUUUUUUUUUUUGACACGGAGUUUCGCUCUUGUUGUCCAGGCUAGAGUGCAAUGGCAUGAUCCCAGCUCACCGCAACGUCUACCUCCCAGGAAGUGGAGUGACAGGGGACAGGUAGAGAGAAGGGGGCCCAGUGGCCAGGGAGUGAAGGAGGUGGCGUUGCUGAGAGCAGUCUGCACAUGCUUCUGUCUGAGUGCAGGAAGGUGUUCCAGGGUCGAAAUUACACUUCUCGUACCUGGAGACGCUGUUUGUGGGAGCACUGGGCUCAUGCCUGGCACACAAUAGGUCUGCAAUAAACCAUGGUUAAAUCCUGA